UACAGAGGUCUCAAGCGUUGUUCGGAUUCAUUGGGCGUAAAGGGUGUGUAGGUGGCGCGCUAAGUCGGGUGUGAAAUUUCGGAGCUUAACUCCGAAACUGCAUUCGAUACUGGCGUGCUUGAGGACUGGAGAGGAGACUGGAAUUCAUGGUGUAGCAGUGAAAUGCGUAGAGAUUAUGAGGAAGACCAGUGGCGAAGGCGGGUCUCUGGACAGUUCCUGACACUGAGACACGAAGGCCAGGGGAGCAAACGGG
rnacentral:rRNA from 1 species